UUUCCGUAGGUGAACCUGCGGAAGGAUCAUUACAGUAGUCGCCCGGGUUGCCGCAAGGCCUCCCGGGUAACCUACCACCCUUUGUUUAUUACACUUUGUUGCUUUGGCAGGCCUGCCCUCGGGCUGCUGGCUCCGGCCGGCGAGCGCUUGCCAGAGGACCUAAACUCUGUUUGUCUAUACUGUCUGAGUACUAUAUAAUAGUUAAAACUUUCAACAACGGAUCUCUUGGUUCUGGCAUCGAUGAAGAACGCAGG
rnacentral:misc_RNA from 1 species